GGUUUAUGAUGAUGAUGAUGAUUAUAAUUGCUUUUUGCAAUAGAGGCCUGUGACAAGCUGUUUUCCACAGCGAUCGAAAUCAGUUUUCUGCAGAUUGUCACUGUGCUCCUACUCUUGCUUAUGAAGAAAGGGAGCUCUGCAUUUCCAAGACAAGAUUCUGCUCAGGUCUUCCUCAAGAAUGCAGAAGCAUACUUCCAAUUUGAUGUUCCUUCACAGCACAAAACAAUCAGAGGAUGACAAUCUACAAACCCCAGCCCCCCCAACUUUCACAGCAAUCAGCUGCUGUAUUCUGAAAGGUCCUGAAGGCACUUUGACAGCUGCCGACAGCAGGUUUAUAAUGAAGGGUGAAGAAGAAUAUCAUGACAAGGGGCCAAAACUGAACUGCUACAAAUAUCAUUUCCUCAUCUGAAUUCAACAUGUUUUGCACAAAAUGGAGCAAGACCUACAGACCAAAGGUUAUUUUCCAGGAAGAACACAAUCAUAUCUGAUCUUUAAUCUAUAAUGUCUCAUGAGUUUUAACUAAAGAUUGAAGUACAAAGCGAACAAUAAUUCUCAAGCUUUACCAAAAAAGAAGCCAUUAGGCUUCAAGAUUCUCACUUGCUCAACAACUCACAAAUUCUCUCUCUCUGUACAGGAAACUGCUUCAAACUGUAGUUCAUUGAUAACCUCUGAAAUCCCCGGUAACACUUCUUAAGUGAAAAUAUUUGCUAAGGUUUAACAUUUACUGAAGUGGCAGUCAACCUGUAUGGCUGAAUUGAAAUUAACUGCACAGACUGUCUGCUGAUAUUUCCAGUUUGUUUUGACUAAGUUGAUUAACUGAUUUUGUCCAGAGGCUCUAAAACUUCAUAAUCCGUGACUUUGUGGUCGUUAUCACUUCUGGUCAUCUCAGGAGUCCAUACUAGUCAGUAUGUCUUUUAUUCUGACAUGUCAUUGCUCACAAAUUCCAAGAGUACAAUGAAGAGAUCACCAUGGAAGCUGCAUAAAGCACUUAAAUGAACAAAAUCUACUUACUAUAUAUUCAAAGCAAUAUAAAAUAAUCUUUACUAAAGUGAAUCUGUUAUUGCAGUUGUGAGGGGAUUAUAAAAGGAACUCAUACACUGCAAUUUUUUGCAUAAAAUCAUUCGCAGAAAAUUCAUAUCAAUUUGUUUUUAAUGGAAGUAAUCUACAUUUAAUCACAUCCAGAUUUUUUAAUAUGAAAUAUCACACUCAAAUUCCAUUAAUAAAAUUCACUCUAUGUGAAAAAGAUACAAAUCUACUGGGCAACAAUUUGAAGCCCCUACUCCUUAUUUCUCAAAUAGUUUUCAUUCUGAGCUUUUUGCUACCCACGUGGAUUAGAGGUUUUCAAAAUAAUGAAGCUUAUGGAAUGAUGUCAGACCUCUCUCCUGAAUCUUGUAAAAACAACUAUUACAACAUUAGACCAUGUUUAAAUAUAAUUUCUGGAAUAUGUGUUACAUGAUAACACUCAAAUGUAAUUAGAAAAGAGGACAUUGAUCUUAUAACCAACGGCAUAGAGGUUACAACCUACAUUAAUUUCCAAACAUAACCAUUCCAAAUUUCUCUGUGGUGCGCCUUGGUAAGCUUUAAAACAUACUUGGCUGAGAGAACAUAACAACCACAAUGAAUAAAGAUUCAAGAAUGUGAGUAGAAUAUUUAAAUGCUACAAAUAGAAUCAACAUGGCCGUUCAUGAAGCUGGUCCGAUGGAGUGACAAAAGACCAAAGUCUGUCACUUGCUGUGGUGCAAUAAAUACUGUCAUUGAUGCUAACUGAGUUUCAUGUCUUAAUUUCUCAUAUUUGCUGAGUUGAUCAUCGUUGAUUUAGGAGGCUAAAAUGGUAUUGUACUUCUAUCAAACAAUUUAAACGGGCCUAGGCUGAAACUUCUAAACACCUCAGCCUUUUUCUUACUCACACAGAAAGUCUGGUGUCUUCAACAUAGGUGGCACUCAAAACUAGUGCUUUAACAUAGUUAAAUGUUUCAUCUCUGCCUACUCUUUGGUAGGAGCACAGUACCAUUUUACCUUUUGAAGCAAUGAUCAUCAAAUCAGCAGAUUUUAGC